rnacentral:rRNA from 1 species
UUCUUGAAAAUUAAGAAAAUUGGCGGUAUUUUAGUCUAUUCAGAGGAACCUGUCCUGUGAUUGAUGGUCCACGUUUCUACCAACUUAUUUUUUAAAUUUACAUAUCGCCGUAGGUUGAAUAUUUUCUUAGAAAAAAAAUGUUCAGGAAUUUUAUUAAAAAUAUAUCAGGUCAAGGUGUAGUUUAUAUAUAAGAAGAGAUGGGUUACAAUAAAAUUAUUUAGACAAAUAGAUUUUUGUAAAGAGUCUUGAAGGUGGAUUUGAAAGUAAUUUUAAAUAUAUUUUUAAAAUGAUUUGAGCUCUAAAGUAUGCACAUAUCGCCCGUCGCUUUCACUUUAAAGUGAAAUAAGUCGUAACAUAGUAGAUGUACCGGAAGGUGUCUCUAGAAAGGCAAGCUAAAGCUUUAAGAGCGUUUUAUUUACAUUAAAAAGAUUAUUAUAAUAUUUAAUAUGGUUUGAAAUUAUUGAAUUAUUUAUUAUUUAAAAUUUAAUGAGUUUUUAAAAAAAGUAAUUUUUAUUUUAUUAGUUUAUAUGAAUAAAUUAGUGGUUGGAACAUAUAAUUAUAGUGAAUUAGUAUUGUGAAAGAUUUUUAUUAGUUAUUUAUAAGAAAUAUUUAUUUUUUGUACCUUGUGUGUCAGGGUUUAUUAAUUAAUUUUUAGGUGUAUUAAAUUUCUCGAAUUUAAAAGAGCUAUAAGCUUAUAAUUUUUAUUGUAGCAUAAAUAUUAUUAAUAGGUUUAUAGAGGUGAAACGUUAUUCGAUUUUAAAUAUAUCUAGUUUCUUAAGAAAAAAAUUUAAUUUUAUUUUUAUUUUAUUAUAUAUUUAAUUUUUUAAUUUUAUAAUUAGUAAAUUUUUAUGCUUUAUGGGAUGAGCUAUAAAGUAAAUUUAUAAAAUAUAGUGGUGUAAGUUUAUUAAGUAGGAUUAUAAGUUUUUAUUUUUAUUAGUGCGUUAUAGCUAUAUAAAUAGGAUUUUAAAUUUAUAUAAAAAUUUAUAUUUGUUAUUAAGAUAUAAUUUAGAGUUUAAUAUAAUUAGAAAUAAUGAUAAAAUUAGUAUAAAUUACAGAGUAUAGUAUUUAUUUAUAUUUAAGGUUAAAUAAAGGAAUUCGGCAAAUUUUAUUUUUCACCUGUUUAUUAAAAACAUGGCCUAUUGAUUAUGAUUUUAGGUCUGGCCUGCCCAAUGAUUUUUAUUUAAUGGCCGCGGUAAUUUGACCGUGCAAAGGUAGCAUAAUCAUUAGUUUCUUAAUUGGAAGCUUGUAUGAAAGGUUUGAUGAGAAAAUAGCUGUCUCUAUUUAAAUUUUUUAAAAUUUUAUUUUUAAGUUAAAAAGCUUAAAUUUUAAUAGAAGACGAGAAGACCCUAUAGAGUUUAAUAAAUUUAUUGUUAAAUAAUAUUUUAGUAUUUUU